rnacentral:rRNA from 1 species
UACGGAGGGUGCAAGCGUUAAUCGGAAUUACUGGGCGUAAAGCGGGCGCAGGCGGUUAUGCAAGACAGAGGGGAAAUCCCCGGGCUCAACCUGGGAACUGCCUUUGUGACUGCAUAGCUAGAGUGCGGCAGAGGGGGAUGGAAUUCCGCGUGUAGCAGUGAAAUGCGUAGAUAUGCGGAGGAACACCGAUGGCGAAGGCAAUCCCCUGGGCCUGCACUGACGCUCAUGCACGAAAGCGUGGGGAGCAAACAGG